rnacentral:rRNA from 1 species
UAGGGAAUCUUCCACAAUGGGCGAAAGCCUGAUGGAGCAACGCCGCGUGUGUGAUGAAGGGUUUCGGCUCGUAAAACACUGUUGUAAGAGAAGAAUGACAUUGAGAGUAACUGUUCAAUGUGUGACGGUAUCUUACCAGAGAGGAACGGCUAAAUACGUGCCAG